rnacentral:rRNA from 1 species
UUAGGAAUCUUGGGCAAUGGGCGAAAGCCUGACCCAGCCAUGCCGCGUGAAUGAUGAAGGUCCUAGGAUUGUAAAAUUCUUUCACCGGGGAAGAUAAUGACGGUACCCGGAGAAGAAGCUCCGGCUAACUUCGUGCCAGCAGCCGCGGUAAUACGAAGGGGGCUAGCGUUGCUCGGAAUUACUGGGCGUAAAGGGCGCGUAGGCGGACGAUUAAGUUGGGGGUGAAAUCCCAGGGCUCAACCCUGGAACUGCCUCCAAAACUGGUCGUCUUGAGUACGGAAGAGGUAUGUGGAACUCCGAGUGUAGAGGUGAAAUUCGUAGAUAUUCGGAAGAACACCAGUGGCGAAGGCGACAUACUGGUCCGUUACUGACGCUGAGGCGCGAAAGCGUGGGGAGCAAACA